rnacentral:lncRNA from 1 species
AACCUGGCAUGCAGAGAUCUGUGGCCCCCUAAGGGCAUGUUAAUGUCAACUCAGUGUUAAUGUGCAGAGUCCCCAAAAGGCCAAGUGGGAGAUGAACAAGGUGAACAAAAACUGUUUGAGGAGAGGAAAGAAUUUGGAGAGACUAUCACUUAAGAACCGCAUCUGAUAACAGCACUGAGAAGACUAUUCCAACAACAAAUGAGAAAAUUCAGAAACCUGAAAAAGAUGAAAAAGAUGUGCAGCAUAGAAGCCCAUAUAUUUCUCCAGGCAUAACCACAUGUGUGACAACACUCUCCAGAAGCAGAAGUGAAUUCCUCUUACAAUACAUCCAAGGAGCGUUGACUGAGGGAGAUUUCACUUUCUGUGGACCGCAGCCAUCUCUUCAGUUUCUCCCUGUUACUGAAAUCUCAUUGUUACACUCAGAAUCUGUCUUCUCCCGGGGCUUACUUUCAAAGCAUUUCACUGCCUGUGACAAGACAGACUGGAGACGAUGCUGGGAGGCUGGGGAAGGUGGCAUGCUGAAGAAAAAUGCAAGCGCCGCAGGAAGACUUCACUUCCAACUACCACUGCAGGGCCAUAGGACUGAUUCUGGACAAUGGAACGAGG